AGCGAACGCUGGCGGCAGGCCUAACACAUGCAAGUCGAACGAAGCCUUCGGGCUUAGUGGCGGACGGGUGAGUAACACGUGGGAACGUACCUUUUGGUUCGGGACAACUCAGGGAAACUUGAGCUAAUACCGGAUGAGCCCUUAGGGGGAAAGAUUUAUCGCCGAAAGAGCGGCCCGCGUUAGAUUAGCUAGUUGGUGAGGUAAAGGCUCACCAAGGCUCCGAUCUAUAGCUGGUCUGAGAGGAUGAUCAGCCACACUGGGACUGAGACACGGCCCAGACUCCUACGGGAGGCAGCAGUGGGGAAUCUUGCGCAGUGGGCGAAAGCCUGACGCAGCCAUGCCGCGUGAAUGAUGAAGGUCUUAGGAUUGUAAAAUUCUUUUAGCAGGGACGAUAAUGACGGUACCUGCAGAAAAAGUCCCGGCUAACUUCGUGCCAGCCGCCGCCGUAAGAC
rnacentral:rRNA from 1 species